rfam:Triticum aestivum genome assembly, contig: Triticum_aestivum_CS42_TGACv1_scaffold_527530_6DL
AUUAUACUCCCUCGUCCUAAAAUUCUUGUCUAGAUACGGAUGUACCUAAUACUAAAAUGUCACUUGAUACAUCCGUAUUUAGACAAAUCUAAGACAAGAAUUUUGGGACGGAGGGAGUAUUAG